GGGGAUCCGAGAGCCAGCAGCUGCCGGAGCGGGAGCCGCUGGAGCCGGGACCACCCCGCAGAAAUAAAUAAAACAUUAAAAAAAAAAAAAAAGAAUUGGAUUGAUCUUGGUACUGAGAAGUUUGAAGGAGGCCGUGGGCAAAUUCAUUCCUGGAUCCCUGUCACAGCCCUUUCUCCCGUCACAGAGGCCUCUCAGAACUGCGAGAUCUCACGGGAUGGGGGCAGAGGGACUAAGAGUGAGGACGGACUUCGGGCCACGUGCUUGUGAAUCCCAGCCACCUGCAGAAGCGCGUGGGCCGAAGCUUGUUCUCUCUCUCCAUCUGGUGCAGGUUAGCCCUGAACCGAGACUUUGUCCUUGAAGCCCAGAUCAGAGGCCGAAGGAGAACUUGGAGAUGAGUGUCUCAGUCUGUGACUCAGUGGUAUUUCAGGUCACGUGUGUGCACCACGAGAACCACAUGCAGAUCCGGAAGCCACACCAGGCCUUGGAAAAGCCGGCCCACAACGCUUUCACCCUCAGAGGUGAGAACCAGGCCAGGCGCAGACAUACCCACGGCGGCCCCUGGCUGGCCAGCCCCAGUGGCCCGAGGUCCUGGCUGUGGGCUCCAGAAACCCCCUUCAGUGCGGUGGGGUUUGUGCCCCUGUGUGCGUAGUUCCUAGAAACCACUAGAAUACACUUUCCGUCACACGGGUAUUUCUGGCCAUGUCUUGUGUGCAGAUUCUGGUUACUUUUUUCCUCCCUUCCUCACCCCUUCCCUCCUCCCUUCACCCUUUCCUCCACUCUCUCUCCCUCUCCUCCCCGCUUCUCUCUCUGUUUUUUUCUGAGAAGCAGUUCUGAUCCUCACGGAGCCCACAGACUAUAUGGAAGGAGCGAGAGGCACAUGCGAAUGUUAACAGAUAUUCUUCCCCGGGCCAACGCGCAAGUUCUGAGAAAAUGAGUCUGGAAACAAAUAGAACUCCAUUUCAGUAGCUCUGUUUUAGGAAUUGGAGAGUGAACUGUGUGGUGGGCUUCAAGGGACGUAGACCCUCUGAGCGAGGGGCUGUCAGGACAUCCACACUGCUGUUCAAGUCCGCAGGGAACAGGGUGUGGACAGGAAGUGACGUGAGAGAAGAGAGAGGGCCGCGCACUCCGGGCGGAUGACCAGAGGAACCCCCCUGGAGGAAGAGGCUUGGCGGGGUGGGGGUGGGGGUGGGGGGUGAGUAGGCUGGCUUGAUGAAUGCAACCUGGUGAAGCUCUACUGCGUAGACUGGGAUUGGGAUAGGACGUUCCAGUCCCUGGAACCUUCAGCAUUUUGAAGACCCGGAACUGCUUUUCAUCCGCCCGUAUUACUUACUUCCUCACCCCAGCCCGUAGAAGUCGUGGUUAUGGGCCCCAUUUUCUGGAUGAGCAAACAGAGGCUCAGAAAGGCGAUGUGACUUUCACAAGGGAGCAAAGCUAAGGAAGGCGAGUUUGAGCCGAGCCUUUCGUCUCCAGAAUGUGACUUCCCACCGGCGCGCUGUGCUCAGAGAGCCUGGCAUCUUGAGGCACGUAAGCUGCAAAUGAGAGGCAGACACACACUCCUGGAUUCAUACAGGGAACCCCCAACCAGCCAUAAACAUUCAUUAGUGGUGCGUGUUUUCACAUGGACAAGUCUUUAAAACAUAAAAUGGAAUAAAAAAUGUAAAAAGCAAGUCGCCGGAGCACACCUAGAACAAGAUAUCAUUGUACACAGUUUAAAGCAUGUGAAACAAUUCCAUACAUUUUUAAGAAGACGCAAUUCUGUAGCGAAAGUAUAGAAUGAAAUAUAAACGUGGAAAUCAUA